rnacentral:rRNA from 1 species
CCGGCCUUGACAUCCUCCCGAAUAGAGAGUAAUGUCUUUAGCCCUUCGGGGCGGGAGAGACAGGUGGUGCAUGGUUGUCGUCAGCUCGUGUCGUGAGAUGUUGGGUUAAGUCCCGCAACGAGCGCAACCCCUGCCGUCAGUAGCCAGCAGGUAAAGCUGGGCACUCUGAUGGGACAGCCUGGGAUAACCAGGAGGAAGGCGGGGACGACGUCAAAUCAUCAUGCCCCUUAUGGCCGGGGCUACACACGUGCUACAAUGGCGUAAACAGAGGGAAGCGAGACAGCGAUGUAGAGCAAAGCCCAAAAAUAACGCCUCAGUUCGGAUUGCAGCCUGCAACUCGGCUGCAUGAAGCCGGAAUCGCUAGUAAUCGCGAAUCAGAAUGUCGCGGUGAAUACGUUCCCGGGUCUUGUACACACGCAGGG